ACAAUGCGGAACUAUUUAGUUUUGCAAUUGGAUUGAGAACAAUGUACAAAUGUUAUCGAUAAACAAUUGGAGGGCAAGUCUGGUGCCAGCAGCCGCGGUAAUUCCAGCUCCAAUAGCGUAUAUUAACGUUGUUGCAGUUAAAAAGCUCGUAGUUGAAAUGUGGGAUGAAGUAUAUGAUGAAUUUAAUAUUCAAUUAUAUAUUGAUUCCCCUCUCCAAUUUAUUAUUAUGGGUAUUAAUUUAUUUGUAAUAAGAAUUGGUCAUUUACUGUGAGAAAAUUAGAGUGUUCAAAGCAGGCAUUUGCUUGAAUAGAUUAGCAUGGAAUAAUAAUAAAAGGCUUUUAUGGUCGAUUUAAUUGGUUUGUUCAUAAAAGCAAGAUUAAAAGGAACAGUUGGGGGUAUUCAUAUUCAAUAGUUAGAGGUGAAAUUCUCGGAUUUAUGGAA
rnacentral:rRNA from 1 species